CCCGAGCAGAGCUACGAUGCUCUCCCAGGUAACCUUAGCUCACAUCAGGCAGCAGGCCGACCAACCAGGAGGACUUGGGCGCAGUAGAGGGAGAAGAGCCUUCGGUCUCUGUGGAGGAAACACUGUGUGUGCGAAGGCUUCAAACAGCCAGGGUGUAGACCAAUAGCGGCCCCGGUGGUAGAAGAAGCUGAAACUCAGUGUCAGUCAUUAUUUGCAGUACAUCACAGGUCAGUGUCAGUUUUUCAUCACCAACAAUACACAAACAUACUGAGUAAUUGGGUUAUGUAUAUAUUUCACAUAUUCAGUUUCACCUAAGGCAAGCUGUAUUUCUCUGCUGACUUGUGUCUGCAACAACACGUCUGAGGGUGGUGCAGGAAUAUCACACACACAACUCCUGGACGCCUGGGAUCAUCUGGUCUCCUGAGCUCACUGAUGGCCCACCGCUCCAGUCUGGACGACAGCCUUUUCUGCAGGAAAGAUCUCUGAAGGGCUGGGAUGUGGCUGUAGUCCUUCACUUCCUUGACAUCUUAUUGUAAAGCUUGAAGUACCUUAUUGGAUGAUAAAAAGUGUUUGAAAUUAGCUCAAUAAUAAAUAAUUGUAAUAAAGCCUGCACUCUAGAAACAUUUUUCUAGCUUUCCUGAACACUACUGGAA